GACGAACGCUGGCGGCGUGCUUAACACAUGCAAGUCGAACGGAAAGGCCCUGCUUUUGUGGGGUGCUCGAGUGGCGAACGGGUGAGUAACACGUGAGUAACCUGCCCUUGACUUUGGGAUAACUUCAGGAAACUGGGGCUAAUACCGGAUAGGAGCUCCUGCUGCAUGGUGGGGGUUGGAAAGUUUCGGCGGUUGGGGAUGGACUCGCGGCUUAUCAGCUUGUUGGUGGGGUAGUGGCUUACCAAGGCUUUGACGGGUAGCCGGCCUGAGAGGGUGACCGGCCACAUGGGGACUGAGAGACGGCCCAGACUCCAACGGUAGGCAGCAGUGGGAAAUAUUGCACAAUGGGCGGAAGCCUGAUGCAGCAACGCCGCGUGCGGGAUGACGGCCUUCGGGUUGUAAACCGCUUUCGCCUGUGACGAAGCGUGAGUGACGGUAAUGGGUAAAGAAGCACCGGCUAACUACGUG
rnacentral:rRNA from 1 species